UUCACUUCACCUGCAGCAGGAUGCUCUCUCAUAUCUGCUGCUUGCGAUUUGAUGUCUCCAGCACUUUGCUUCUCGUACCUGCAGCACAUGUGAAAUGGAUCCCAUGAUUUAACGAUGAGCUGGUCUGUGUUUGCUCUUCAAUCUUCUCCUUAUUUUCAUCGUUUGGUUCUUUGACAACUCCAAGUACCUGAUGUCCAAAGAGGGACAGAUUUCAGAACAGCGCUGAGUCCAGAAGCAACUGAUUUGUACCUGUGUUUCUGUGGGAGAGUCAAAGGGGAGCUGGGUAACCAUGCCCACUCUGCCAAACCUCAACAGCCUGGGAAAGCUGUGCAGCUCCAGCCGCAGCCACAGCGUCCACCGAGUCAACCGGGUUCGGGUGAAGCGCAAGAGCUCAGUGAAGCGGAUGUCCAUCAUCGAGGAUGGACACGUAGCUGAGGUGCUCUACCUCAUUCCCAAACAGUACAUGGAGCAGUUUCCCUUCCUCAACCCAGAUGAUUAUUACCUCACUGAGAGAUUGAAUGAUGUCACUACAGUGUCUCAUACACCGGACACACACCACCACUCCAGCGAGAAGCCCCUGAUUCAGUGCUACAAGUGCGGGGAGCCAUGCAAGGGCGAGGUCCUCCGGGUGCAGAACAAACACUUUCACCUGAAAUGUUUCACCUGUAAAGUGUGCGGCUGUGACCUCGCCCAGGGGGGCUUCUUCAUGAAGAAUGGGGAUUAUCUGUGCAUGCUCGACUACCAACGCAUGCACGGCACCCGCUGCAAUGGGUGCGGGGACUUUGUCGAGGGAGAAGUCGUCACUGCCCUGGGCAAGACUUACCAUCCUUCCUGCUUCGUCUGCACCAUCUGCAAACGACCGUUCCCGGCCGGAGACAGGGUGACCUUCAACGGAAAGGACUGCCUGUGUCAGUACUGCGUCGAGCCCACGUCUCCUGGACCGAAGGACAUCCUGGGUUCUAGCAAUUGCUCAGGAUGUGGUCGCGACAUCAAGAACGGUCAGGCUCUUCUGGCGUUGGACAGACAGUGGCAUCUGGGCUGCUUUAAGUGUAAGGCCUGUGGCAAAGUGCUGACUGGGGAGUACAUCAGCAAGGAUGGCGCCCCCUACUGCGAGAAGGACUACCAGAUCCAUUUUGGAGUUCAGUGUGAGGCGUGUCAUCAGUUCAUCACGGGGAAGGUGUUAGAGGCAGGAGAUAAACACUACCACCCCAGUUGUGCGAGAUGCAGCAGGUGCAAUCAGAUGUUCACAGAGGGAGAAGAGAUGUAUCUGCAAGGCUCGACAGUGUGGCAUCCCGGGUGCAAGAACACCACCAGAACAGAGGAGAGACACAGAGAACGGCUGUUGCCUCCGUCCCUCUUAUUCCUCCAACAAACAGAAAGGCAGCCUACGAGGUCAUCGUCUGAGAGCAUUUGUUCCAGACCUGGGUCAAGCAUACCUGGCUCACCGGGUCACACCAUCUAUGCAAAAGUAGACAAUGAGAUCCUUGAUUACAGAGACCUAGCUGCCAUUCCAAAAGUCAAAGCCAUUUAUGACAUUGAGCGCCCCGAUCUUAUCACGUAUGAACCUAUGUACACAACCUCCCUGGAUGAGAAAGACGAGAGACGAGAGUAUGUGGGAGAGCUCCACUCUGCUAGACGGGAGCGUUCCCCGAUGCCCGAUGAUAAGUCAUCAAGAAACAUGUCGCCAACCCCAUCAGCCGAGAGUUUUUACGACAGGAGGGACCGGAUUCUCCAAAGAUCCACCAGCCAAGGCUCCAUAGGUUCCCCGGUGUAUAAUCGUCAUGGUUACACUCCCACCCUAUCACGAUCACCGCAGCAUUUUCACAGACCUGAAGCUCUGACAGGCAUGCAGAAGCUCUGCUCCUCCCUGUGCAGUAACAGUGUGGGCUCCAGAAAUAGUGACUCUCGUCCCACCUCCCCUUUCAGACACCACUUCCUCCCCCAUAGCCAAGGCCCCGACCCACCGAGUGGCCGGAGUUCCCCCCUGCCGCUCAGGCCCGACAGCCGGCCGGUCACCCCGCCUCUCUCUCAGACCCCUAAACAUUUCCACGUCCCAGAUCAGGGGAUCAACAUCUACAGAAAACCACCCAUCUACAAACUUCACGAUACAGCUGCCGUAGCUCAGCAAAGCAAGUCUGGUGAGGACAUCAUCAGAUCCGCCACCUUCCCUGCUGCCCAUGCUCCCUCCCUGGAUGACAGCUCCCGGAGUGAGGGCGACUGUUGGCCCCACUCUCUCGCUGUUUUAGGUUCAGAAGGGAGGAGGCGGUCUAGAGAAGAGGAGGAGGAAGAAGCUUUCAAAAGAAAGCAACUUCAGGAAGAACAUCUCAGUAAGAUUCAGUCUGGUCUGGGAAAACUCAUUCUGAAGGAGGAGAUGGAGAAAGAGCAGAUUAGGGAGCGGCAUGCGCGCAGCCUCUCUGCUCAGCGCUACGAUCCCAAAAUGAACAACUGUGACGCAGAUCCAACAUCUCCAACCAAGACCAACUCUCUGCCUGGUUAUGGACGGAACGGUCUGCAUCGGCCUCAGUCUACAGAUUUCACCCAGUACAACAGCUAUGGAGACAUGUGUGGUGGAGGAAGAGCACAUUAAGGAUGGCCGUGCAGCACUUGCAAGGAUGGACAGGGGAGUAUCUAUGCCUAAUAUGUUGGAACCAAAAGUGUAUCCCUAUGAAAUGCUCAUGAUAACCAGUAGAGGGAGAGCUAAACUGCCAAGGGAUGUGGACAGAACCAGACUGGAGCGCCACUUAGCACCCGAAACGUUCUUUGAGAUCUUUGGAAUGGAGAUCCAGGAGUUUGACAGGCUUCCCCUGUGGAAACGCAACGACAUGAAAAAGAAGGCCAAGCUCUUUUAGUUUUUUUAUUUUUUCUAAUUUAUAGCAUGCAUUAUUCUGUACAUACAAUCAGAUAGCACACAGUUGUAAUCUAGAUGUAGGUUCUGGGUUAUUUCCUUUCCCUUUCUUUUCUUUUGUUUUUGCUUAUAUCACCUGGAUAUACCUGGGGAUUCCAAGAAAUGGACUGAUGUUGCGAUGAUGGACUUCAAUAAUGAAUGGAAAAUUCUUCCAUGUUCAAAAAUGACAAAGAAUGAUGAGAAGGGUCAAGUUUUAUUUGCUUUGACUGCACUUAUUUUACCUCCUGCUUUGCUUUAAGUGAAAAUCCUUCCUUUACUUUACUGCUUGUUUCUCCCUAUUUGUUGCUGUUGAUUCCCGUGGAACUUUGUAAUUACAGUAGACCAUCACAAAAAUGCCCAUGCCUGUAGCUCAAAAGUGUGUCAACUUUUUGUUUUGCUUGGGCUGAAGCAGUUUUAGCCCAAAGGUUUCAAGAAUCGGCUCAGUGAGUCUUUUAAGAUACAAUAUGAUGAGAAAAGCCUGUGGGAACACGGUGAGCACACCCACAAACUGUUUGACUGGAUCUACGUGGAAAUGAAUCCUCCAAUAGCUGGCAUAUCACCAGUCUUCUUCCCCCUGGCUUUCAUGCACACAAAUUGUUCAUCUGAAUGGACAAAAAUGUCUCUUUUCUCAGGCUCUCAUAAACAAAGUUAUACACCUUACCUAUAUAAAUUUAAGUAAGAAUCUUAUAUUUUAAGGCUGUUUCCAACUUAUAGUUACAUCCAGAUACGACCCCGUAUUUCAAGAAUCAACUGUAUGUGAAAGUAUUGUUUUAUAAAUGGAGAAAACACACUGCCAUUUGUUGUAUUGAAAUCUAAGCCAAUAAAGCUUUAAAUUGCCAUGAA